rnacentral:rRNA from 1 species
GAUGAGCGCUGGCGGCGUGCCUAAUACAUGCAAGUCGAGCGAACAGACGAGGAGCUUGCUCCUUCGACGUUAGCGGCGGACGGGUGAGUAACACGUAGGUAACCUACCUAUAAGACUGGGAUAACUUCGGGAAACCGGAGCUAAUACCGGAUAAUAUUUCGAACCGCAUGGUUCGAUAGUGAAAGAUGGCUUUGCUAUCACUUAUAGAUGGACCUGCGCCGUAUUAGCUAGUUGGUAAGGUAACGGCUUACCAAGGCAACGAUACGUAGCCGACCUGAGAGGGUGAUCGGCCACACUGGAACUGAGACACGGUCCAUACUCCUACGGGAGGCAGCAGUAGGGAAUCUUCCGCAAUGGGCGAAAGCCUGACGGAGCAACGCCGCGUGAGUGAUGAAGGUCUUCGGAUCGUAAAACUCUGUUAUUAGGGAAGAACAAACGUGUAAGUAACUGUGCACGUCUUGACGGUACCUAAUCAGAAAGCCACGGCUAACUACGUG